UAGGGAAUCUUCCGCAAUGGACGAAAGUCUGACGGAGCAACGCCGCGUGAGCGAAGAAGGCCUUCGGGUCGUAAAGCUCUGUUGUUAGGGAAGAACAAGUAUCGGAGUAACUGCCGGUACCUUGACGGUACCUAACCAGAAAGCCACGGCUAACUACGUGCCAGCAGCCGCGGUAAUACGUAGGUGGCAAGCGUUGUCCGGAAUUAUUGGGCGUAAAGCGCGCGCAGGCGGUCCUUUAAGUCUGAUGUGAAAGCCCGCGGCUCAACCGUGGAGGGUCAUUGGAAACUGGGGGACUUGAGUGCAGAAGAGGAGAGUGGAAUUCCACGUGUAGCGGUGAAAUGCGUAGAGAUGUGGAGGAACACCAGUGGCGAAGGCGACUCUCUGGUCUGUAACUGACGCUGAGGCGCGAAAGCGUGGGGAGCAAACAGGAUUAGAUACCCUGGUAGUCCACGCCGUAAACGAUGAGUGCUAAGUGUUAGAGGGUUUCCGCCCUUUAGUGCUGCAG
rnacentral:rRNA from 1 species